AGGAAUCUGAUUUGGCCCAUUGUUUGCGGUAGCGGAAGGUUGGGGAACAAAAUGAGUAGGUCAUGUAUAUGCGGGUUUGGAAUCCUUGAUUUUGGACUCCGCCAAUUUCGCUAGUCCCAUUGCUUCCGCUAAAUGAGUGGGCACAGAAUGGCCAAUUCAUGCCUAAUUCCUGGUAUUAGACCAGAAAGAAAACAGUUUAGCACAACGUUCGGAGCGAGUCCCCAAAUCCGGUUACAUAUUUUCUCAAAUUGAUGCUGAUAUUUGGCCACUGUUCCAGUUUGACGGAGUUUAAAUAACUCUACCUGGUGGUUCUGAUAAGUGAAAGGACCGAAUCUGAUCUCCAAUGCACGUAUAAAACUUUCCCAAUCAGUGAAUGUGGAAUUAUAAAAGGCCCAUUUAAAUCAGCUAAGUGCUUCACCCUGCAUAUAAAAUGAAAUUAUAUUCGGACGUUGUCCUGGAGGAAUCUGAUAUAAUUGAAAAAAAUGUUCUACCUGAAACAACCAAUCCAGUAGUUCGGUACCAUCCAAAAUAUUUAACUGUAGUUUUGGUGGUAUAGGCUACGUGGGAAAAGUGUAGGUAAGGUUGAGGUUUG
rnacentral:lncRNA from 1 species